rnacentral:rRNA from 1 species
CUAGGAAUCUGCCUGGUAGUGGGGGACAACGUUUCGAAAGGAACGCUAAUACCGCAUACGUCCUACGGGAGAAAGCAGGGGACCUUCGGGCCUUGCGCUAUCAGAUGAGCCUAGGUCGGAUUAGCUAGUUGGUGAGGUAAUGGCUCACCAAGGCGACGAUCCGUAACUGGUCUGAGAGGAUGAUCAGUCACACUGGAACUGAGACACGGUCCAGACUCCUACGGGAGGCAGCAGUGGGGAAUAUUGGACAAUGGGCGAAAGCCUGAUCCAGCCAUGCCGCGUGUGUGAAGAAGGUCUUCGGAUUGUAAAGCACUUUAAGUUGGGAGGAAGGGCAGUAAAUUAAUACUUUGCUGUUUUGACGUUACCGACAGAAUAAGCACCGGCUAACUCUGUGCCAGCAGCCGCGGUAAUACAGAGGGUGCAAGCGUUAAUCGGAAUUACUGGGCGUAAAGCGCGCG